GAUCCUGGUUCAGGAUGAACGCUAGCUACAGGCUUAACACAUGCAAGUCGAGGGGCAGCAUGGUCUUAGCUUGCUAAGGCCGAUGGCGACCGGCGCACGGGUGAGUAACACGUAUCCAACCUGCCGUCUACUCUUGGGCAGCCUUCUGAAAGGAAGAUUAAUACAAGAUGGCAUCAUGACGUCCGCAUGUUCACAUGUAAGUUUAAAAGGUUACGUUCCGGUAGACGAGUGGGG
rnacentral:rRNA from 1 species